rfam:Brachypodium distachyon strain Bd21 chromosome 3, whole genome shotgun sequence.
CCCCUACCCUCCGUCCCAUAAUUCUUGUCAAAAUAUUACAUGUAUCUAGACGCUUUUUAGGAAUAGAUACAUCCAUUUUUAGGCAAAUUUGAGACAAGAAUUAUGGGACGGAGGGAAUAUUAA